UACGUAGGGUGCGGGCGUAAUCGGAAUUACUGGGCGUAAAGCGUGCGCAGGCGGUUUUGUAAGCCAGAUGUGAAAUCCCCGGGCUUAACCUGGGAAUGGCAUUUGGGACUGCAAGGCUGGAGUGCGGCAGAGGAGACUGGAAUUCCUGGUGUAGCAGUGAAAUGCGUAGAUAUCAGGAGGAAUACCGAUGGCGAAGGCAGGUCUCUGGGCUGACACUGACGCUCAUGCACGAAAGCGUGGGGAGCAAACAGG
rnacentral:rRNA from 1 species